rnacentral:rRNA from 1 species
UUCCGGUUGAUCCCGCCGGACCUGACUGCUAUCGGAUUGAUACUAAGCCAUGCGAGUCUUUGCAGUAAUGCAAGGCAUACGGCUCAGUAACACGUAGUCAACUUACCCUAUGGACGAGGAUAAUCUCGGGAAACUGAGCAUAAUACUCGAUAGAUCAUAAUGCCUGGAAUGGUUUAUGGUUGAAAUGAUUCGUCGCCAUAGGAUGGGACUGCGGCCUAUCAGCUUGUUGGUGAGGUAAUGGCCCACCAAGGCGAUUACAGGUACGGGCUCUGAGAGGAGAAGCCCGGAGAUGGGUACUGAGACAAGGACCCAGGCCCUAUGGGGCGCAGCAGGCGAGAAAACUUUGCAAUGUGCGAAAGCACGACAAGGUUAAUCCGAGUGAUUUCUGCUAAAGAAAUCUUUUGCAAGUCAUAAAACCACUAGUGAAUAAGGGGUGGGCAAGUUCUGGUGUCAGCCGCCGCGGUAAAACCAGCACCUCAAGUGGUCAGGAGGAUUAUUGGGCCUAAAGCAUCCGUAGCCGGCUCUGUAAGUUUUCGGUUAAAUCCAUGUGCUCAACGCAUGGGCUGCCGAAAAUACUGCAUAGCUAGGGAGUGGGAGAGGUAGACGGUACUCGGUAGGAAGGGGUAAAAUCCUUUGAUCUAUCGAUGACCACCUGUGGCGAAGGCGGUCUACCAGAACACGUUCGACGGUGAGGGAUGAAAGCUGGGGGAGCAAACCGGAUUAGAUACCCGGGUAGUCCCAGCUGUAAACGAUGCAGACUCGAUGAUGCAUUGGCAUAUAGCCAGUGCAGUGUCGCAGGGAAGCCGUUAAGUCUGCCGCCUGGGAAGUACGUACGCAAGUAUGAAACUUAAAGGAAUUGGCGGGGGAGCACCACAAGGGGUGAAGCCUGCGGUUCAAUUGGACUCAACGCCGGA